rnacentral:rRNA from 1 species
GACGAACGCUGGCGGCGUGCUUAACACAUGCAAGUCGAACGGAAAGGCCCUGCUUUUGUGGGGUGCUCGAGUGGCGAACGGGUGAGUAACACGUGAGUAACCUGCCCUUGACUUUGGGAUAACUUCAGGAAACUGGGGCUAAUACCGGAUAGGAGCUCCUGCUGCAUGGUGGGGGUUGGAAAGUUUCGGCGGUUGGGGAUGGACUCGCGGCUUAUCAGCUUGUUUGUGGGGUAGUUGCUUACCAAGGCUUUGACGGGUAGCCGGCCUGAGAGGGUGACCGGCCACAUUGGGACUGAGAUACGGCACAGAAUCCUACGGGAGGCAGCAGUGGGGAAUAUUGCACAAUGGGCGGAAGCCUGAUGCAGCAACGCAGCGUGCGGGAUGACGGCCUUCGGGUUGUAAACCGCUUUAGCCUGUGACGAAGAGUGAGUGACGGUAAUGGGUAAAGAAGCACCGGCUAACUACGUG